rnacentral:rRNA from 1 species
GAUGAACGCUAGCGGCAGGCUUAAUACAUGCAAGUCGAGGGGCAGCACAGAUAGCAAUAUUGGGUGGCGACCGGCAAACGGGUGCGGAACACGUACACAACCUUCCUUUUAGUGUGGGAUAGCCCAGAGAAAUUUGGAUUAAUACCACAUAGUAUAUUGGAGUGGCAUCACUUUGAUAUUAAAGAUUUAUCGAUAAAAGAUGGGUGUGCGUAUGAUUAGGUAGUUGGUAGAGGUAACGGCUCACCAAGCCUUCGAUCAUUACCUUGUGUGAGAGCACGACCAGUCACACGGGAACUGAGACAAGGGCCCGACUCCUACGGGAGGCAGCAGUAAGGAAUAUUGGUCAAUGGACGGAAGUCUGAACCAGCCAUGCCGCGUGAAGGAUGACGGCCCUCUGGGUUGUAAACUUCUUUUAUGUGGGACGAAAAAGGGCCAUUUUUGGUCAACUGACGGUACCAUAGGAAUAAGCACCGGCUAACUCCGUGCCAGCCGCCGCAGUAA